GGCACUGUGGCUCACGCCUGUAAUCCCAGCACUUUGGGAGGUCGAGGCUGGCGGAUUGCUUGAGCCCAGGAGCAUGAGACCAACCUGGGAAACAUGGCAAAAUCCCAUUGCUACAAACUAUACAAAAAUUAGCUGGGUGUGGUGGUGCGUACCUGUAGUCCCAGCUACUCGGAAGGCUGAGCUGGGAGGAUCACUUGAGCCCAGAAGUUGGAGUCUGCAGUGAGCAGUGAUCAUGUGCCACUGCAUUCUAGCCUGGGCCACAGCAACACUUUGUCCCAAAAGAAAAAAAAAAGGUUGUAUGAUGCUUCAUGGAAAAAAAAGUUUUCCGCCUAGGCAAUAUAGCAAGACCUCAUCCCUACAAAAAUUUUUGUUUGUUUGUUUUAAGGCAGAGUCAUGCUCUUUUGCUCUUUUGCCAGGCGCCAGGCUGGAGUGCAGUGGCGCGAUCUUGGCUCACUGCAACCUCCACCUUCUGGCUUCAAGCAAUUCUUCUGCCUCAGCCUCCCAAGUAGCCGGGACUACAGGUAUGUGCCACCACGCCCAGCUGAUUUUUAUAUUUUUGUAGAGAUGGGAUUUCACUAUAUUGGCCAGGAUGGCAAAAAUGUUUUUAAAAAUCAGACUGGUAUGGUAGCACACACCUGUAGUCUCAGCUACUGGGAAGGAUGAGGCAGGAGGAUUGCUUGAGCCCAGGAGUUUGAGGCUGUGAUGAAACAUGAUUGUGCCACUGUACUCUAGCCUGGGUGACAGAGUGAGACCAUAUUUCAAAAAAAGAAAAAAAGUUGGCUUUGCAGACGCCGCCGCCGCCGCUGCCGCCUGGAGCCUUGUCGUAUCAGCCAUGGUCAACCCCACCGUGUUCUUCGUCAUUGCCGUCAACGGCGAGCCCUUGGGCCGCGUCUUCUUCGAGCUGUUUGCAGACAAGGUUCCAAAGACAGCAGAAAACUUUCGUGCUCUGAGCACUGGAGAGAAAGGAUUUGGUUAUAAGGGUUCCUGCUUUCACAGAGUUAUUCCAGGGUUUAUGUGUCAGGGUGGUGACUCCACACCCCAUAAUGGCACUGGUGGCAAGUCCAUCUACAGUGAGAAAUUUGAUGAUGAGAACUUCAUCCUAAAGCAUACAGGUCCUGGCAUCUUGUCCAUGGCAAAUGCUGGACCCAACACAAACGGUUCCCAGUUUUUCAUCUGUACUGUCAAGACUGAGUGGUUGGAUGGCAAGCAUGUGGUCUUUGGCAAGGUGAAAGAGGCAUGAAUAUUGUGGAGGCCAUGGAGCACUUUGGGUCCAGGAAUGGCAAGACCAGCAAGAAGAUCACCAUUGCUGACUGUGGACAACUUUAAUAAGUUUGACUUGUGUUUUAUGUUAACCACCAGACCAUUCCUUCUGUAGCUCAGGAGAGCACCCUCCACCCCAUGUGCUCGCAGUAUCCUAAAAUCUGUGCUCUCGCUGCAGUUUCCUUUGGGUUCCAUGUUUUCCUUGUUCCCAUCCAUGCCUAGCUGGAUUGCAGAGUUAAGUUUAUGAUUAUGAAAUAAAGACGAAAUAACAACAACAAAAAAAAGUUUUCAAGAGGGGAAGCAGUAAGAAGAGUGUUAGAAACCUCAGGUGCCCAUCUGCUUUCCCCUCCUUGCCCAGGGUGACAGAAACGUGCCAGAUUCUCAUUGGCAGCAACAUGAGUUUUGAUUUGGCCAAGGUGUGUGUGCUCUUCUGGAGCGUAAGGUCAGCACAGAGGCUGCUGGAGGCUGCCUCCACAGACUCUAGCACCACCUUUCCUCAUCUUGUAGCUGAAAUCCCUGGAGUCAUUCUUGUCUCCCCUGGCCUCUUAGAUUCUACGCAUCUCAGCAUGGCUUCCAGCCAUCAUGGGUCUUUUCUUGGGUCUCUCCCCUCUCCUGUCCAUCUUCCAGAAGUAGCUUUCUGAACACAGACUUCAUUGCUCUCCUUUCCAUAAGCAGCAGUCACUCGCAACACUGAGGAAUGAAGACCUUACAGUGUCUUUACACCCUAACCCAAGACUACCUUUCCAGAAUCAUCUUCCCACCCCAUGGCUCUGACCUUCCAAUCACAUUAAAAUUCUCAGUGUGAUGAGAUACCCCAGCUCCUUUCUGUCUCUGCCAUGGCUCACGCUGCUUCUUCUCCCCAUAGAGCCCUCCUCUCAUCUUCCUUGAGAUCUUGCUGACCAAAUAUCCCCUCCUCUUGUGAUGAUUUAGCAGUCACCCACACCCCUGUAGGCCAGCAGACACCCUUCCUCUGCCUUCCGAUAGCUUUGCCCAUAUGUGAUCUCUGCUCUUUGUACCCUGUGCUAUCUCCCGUGUUAGAUCCAGCCUCCCUACUGCUGGUCAUAGCGCUACUGCUGGCACCUGAUUGCAAGCCCAGCAUCUGUCUUGGUGCCAAGCACAUGACAAGAAUUGAAUAAUAUGCCGGGUACGGUGGCUCAUGCCUGUAAUCCCAACACUCUGGGAGGCAGAGGCAAGUGAUCUGAGGUCAGGAGUUCUAAAAUAGCCUGGCCAACAUGGCAAAACCCCAUCUACUAAAAAUAUGAAAUUAGCUGGGUGUGGUGGUGCAUGCCUGUAAUCCCAGCUACUUGGGAGUCCAAAUUGGGAGAAUCACUUGAACCUGGGAGAUGGAAAUUGUAGUGAGGCAAGAUCAUGCCACUGCACUCCAGCCUGGGUGACAGAGCCAGACUCUGUCUCAAAAAGAAAAAUUGAAUAAAUAUUUUUUGAGUGAAAUGGAAUUCUGGGUUGUGGUUUCCAUCAGGUAAGAUUCUUGGUUGUGGCUGUGUGUGGUGGCUCACGCCUGUAAUCCCAGCACUUUGGGAGGCUGAGGUGGGUGGAUCACAAGGUCAGGAGUUUGAGACUAGCCUGGCCAACAUAGUGAAACCCCAUCUCUACUAAAAAUACAAAAAAAUCAGUUGGACCUGGGGGCUUGUGCCUGUAAUUCCAGCUACGUGGGAGGCUGAGGCAGGAGAAUCGCUUGAACCUAGGAGGCAGAGGUUGCAGUGAGCCGAGAUCGCGCCAUUGCAAUCCAGCCUGGGUGACAGAGCAAGACUCUGUCUUGGAAAAAAAAAGAGAUUCUUGGUUGUAAGCAACAGACACCACAUCUGGCUUUGACAAGAGGGAGUUUCCUGGAAGGAUAUGGACGCAUUCACAUAGUCAGUGGAAGGCGAGUGUAGGCAUGCUGGCAUCAGUCCUUACCCACUGUGUCCCUGCUCAGCCACGAGAACAGUGUGCCGCCAGGGUAUUCAGUCUGUAACUCUGCUCUGGAUGCAGGCUUCAGCAAGGGAGUGUCCAGCUGGGCUAAUGGGGCCCACCCUUUGGCUCUGGGAGAGCUGGGCUCCUUGAUGAUAAUCCCAGGAGACUGUAAGCUGUGCUAGGAUGAGGUAGUUCCUCAGGAGGGGAAGUGUGUCUUGGGAUAGUCAAUAGCCGGUGACUGUUCACCACAGGACUAAACCUUGUGUUUCUAGUGCUCCAGGGCCCCAGCUGGCCUGUCUGGUGUGACUUGCCAAGUGUUCUGAGCAAGAAAGGAAGUUGUUUUUUAAAAUGCAGGUAUUGGCCAGACACAGCUCACGCCUGUAAUCUCAGCACUGGGAGGCUGAAACGUGGAUCACUUGUACUCUGGAAGUUUGAGACCAACCUGGGCAAUAUAGUGAGACCCUGUUUCAAUUUAAAAAAAGAAAAGCAGAUAUCCUGGGAAGGGAUAUCAAUGAAAGAAUGAUAUCUCUGGGAAGGGAUAGCCCCUGCUAUCCAGCAUUGAUCUGCCAAAAGUAGGACCUGUGAAUGCAGGAUCCAGAGUAGCCAUGGGUGGAUGCGGUGCUAAAGGGUCACAAGUGUUCCAGUAAUGCUACCCAAAUCACAAGUGUUUCAUGUCCUCUUAUACCUCCAUACUCAGGGAGAAGCAACUUAGAGGCCUCCACAUAAAAGGCAGGCUCUCAGCUGGGUGUCAGAGGUAAGGAAGCCACUGAAGCUUAUUGCUCCUUAAGAAGCAAUCAAGGGGCCGGGCAUGGUGGCUCACGCCUGUAAUCCCAGCACUCUGGGAGGCCGAGGCGGGUAGACCACGAGGGCAAGAGAUCGAGACCAUCCUGGUCAACAUGGUGAAACCCCGUCUCUACUAAAAAUACAAAAAAUUAGCUGGGCACGGUGGCACGUGCCUGUAAUCCCAGCUACUCAGGAGGCUGAGGCAGGAGAAUUGCCUGAACCCAAGAGGCAGAGGUUGCGGUGAGCCAAGGUCGCGCCAUUGCACUCCUGCCUGGGUAACAAGAGCGAAACUCUGUCUCAAAAAAAAAAAAAAAAAGCGAUCAAGCCGGGCUGGUGGGUAGCUCAUGCCUGUAAUCCCAGCAUUUUGGGAGGCCGAGGCAAGCAGAUCAUGAAGCCAGGAGUUCGAGACCAGCCUGAUCAACAUGGUGAAACCCUGUCUCUACUAAAAAUACAAAAAAAAUUAGCUGGGCGUUGUGGUGGGGUACCUGUAAUCCCAAGUAUUCAGGAGGCUGAGGCAGGAGAAUUGCUCAAACCUGGGAGGCAGAGAUUGCAGUGAGCUGAGAUCGUGCCACUGCACUCCAGCCUGGGUGACAAAGCGAGACUCUCUCAAAAAAAAAAAAAUAAUAAUAAUGGAUAACCUUCUCCCAAGUGGAAGGGCUGUGCAGUCAUACAAGGGUAUGACUGACACCAAGGAGUGAAGAGUUGCAGUCAUGAGCUGGGAAGACACAGCCUAAAAGCAGAUAAGCAGGUGGUAGUAAACAACAACCCCAUUACCACAAGCGGGUUUUGCAUGUGCGUGGUAGCAGGGCAUGGUCCUGGGGGAGGUGGGGCUAUCUGAGCAAAAUCACGGCGCUGGGGGAGGCAGGAAUGUUAUCAUGUGUCGGGAAAAGACAAACCAAUGUGAAAGACAAGGGUUUGUAGAGGGGAGUGGUGGAGAGUGAGGUUGGAAGGUGCUUGGAUUCAGUUGUGGACAGCCUUGAAUUCUAGGCUAAGACUUCAGAUGUUGCUUUGUAGGCACUAGGAGCACCUGUGGAUGUUUCAGAAUGGGAGUAUCAUGACGGAUAUGCUGGUUUUAAAAGAGCAGGAAUAAGUAGUGGGCUACUGCUGAGGAAUCUGUCAUGAGUAUGUUAGCCUGGGGACAAAGAAGACUGGCCAAAAAAAAAAAAAAAUCCUGUGUAGAAGGGGGAGCACCCAGGACACUUAGGUUCCAGACCUCCAUUCCCAGCAUCUCACCUGUAACUCCGCCUCCCUCUACUCAUCCAAAGGUCAUGGUGCUUAUUCACCAGCAUUACUAUGAUACAGUGAAAUAAUGAUCUUUCAUGUUUAAAUAAACCUACUUAAUCUUGUGCAUCUAUUUGGAGAUUCAGAAACACCACAUGAGAAGCUACUGGGACUUUUUUCUCCUUUGCUUGGCUUCCCAUUUGUUCUCUAGCUGCUUUUUUCAUCCUCGCUAGUUAUGAACCUUCCCCUCCACUUUGGAGCUUCACAAUGGUUCAGAUCUCCUAGGAUGCCAACAGUGUGGUUUUGAUUCAUGUGUUCCUUCUCCUGCUUAAAUUUCAAUCAAUUCAACGGUGAUAUGCUGGGUAUGAUUGGCUGGAUGCGCCCAUUCCAUUCAAUUCAUUCAUAACUAGGAUGUAAGUGAGGAUACAGGCUUGGGUGUUAUGGCCAAAAGAUUCCAAAUACGAUGACUUUAUCAAGGAUCAUUUAUUUCCCUCUCACUUGAAACAUGGGUAGGUGGUGCAGGGCUGAUGAUGAUGGCUCAGUGAGGUCCCAGGCUUCUUUAGCUAUGGUUCUGCCGACCUCAGCAGAUGGUACACAUCUUCCCCAAGGCUGCUGCUUGGGCUGCCCCCACCACAUGGGGUAGGGAGACGCAUGCCUUCUUUUAUAGGGACACUGCAUUUCUGCUCGCCCUGACCACAUGCCAUCAACAAGAACUUUGGCCCAUGAAUACACUCAGAUGCAGGAGAGGCUGGGAAAUGUUUCCCUUAGCUGGGCAUCCAUGGGCCUCUCCUUGCGUCCAUCGUAGAGAGUGGAGUAGCAGCAUUUGCACCGCAGACCUGAGGGUACUAAGGCUGGGCUGGGGGUGGGGAGUGAGGCCAGGAGCUUGGAUGUGCAGGCUGGAUGUCACACGCAUAUAGGGCAAAGAGGAGGAUCUGGCUGGGACCUGGGGCCUCCACUGUACCCUUGUCCCAAGCCCCAGCACAGCAGGGUGGGCUGAUCCAACCCAAAUCAUCUCCAGAGUCUUCUCUUUCCUACUGUAUUAUGCUGCUUCCAUAUUACCAUAGUUCACUCACUAUCAAGGGCUCCAAAGCAGUCACAUCAUCUAUAUAUUACUUGAUUGUUGUGCACAGGGCAUUGGGUGAAAAUGAAAGUGGGCGGAGCACAUAGCCUCUAACCUCAAAGCCAGUCAUGUGCCAGAUGAAAGGCAAGUCACAGUCUUUAGAUUAAGUAGCAUUUUAACAAAACUAAAAUGCCCAAAAGUCCUCCUUGCCAGGGCCCAGCAGGUAAGACUGGAGUGUAGAAAGGUUGUCAUUUUAAUUACAAUGUGAAAUCCCAGCGCUGAUAACAGUCCUACCAGGACAGAUGCAGUGGCCCGUGUCUCAAAACUCACACCACCACAUGUUCCAGACUUCAUCUGGGGCUUCACCUGCUUUUUGCCUCAGAACAGUCUUAAUAGCAUGGUCCUGUGUUCAACCCAUUGUGCAGAUGAGGAAACAGAUUGGCCACAGUCACAGAGUAAACAGAUGAAAAGCUAGUCCUGUGUGCCAAGAUGUGCCUCCCUUGAGAACAUAGGUUCUUAAGUAGAAGCUGUGCCCACCUGCUCAUUUAGCACAGGCAGGGGAAGGGUGAGCAGUUGGGUCAUCGUGGGGCACUUGCCAUGGCUGUGCACAGCUCAGGAGCUUUGGCCAGCUCCCUUUUCCUUUCUGUCAGUCAGCAAAUAUGUGUUGAGCCCCUCAGAGCUAGGUAAGCUCUGAGCUGGGCACUUGGUGAGUACAUUUAAAUCUGAUGCCAGCCCUGUGAGCUAGGCAUUAGGAUCCUUUGUUCACAUUGGAUAAGCAUAAGGCCCGGAGAGUUAAGUACCUUUCUGGGAUCACAUGCUGACGCUUGGCAGACCAGGAUUCUGGGCCAAAGUCCAUUCUUUCUGUGCAUUGGCUGAUCUAUCAGAAGAACCCCCCUCCCUGCCAGGCUUGAGAACCCACGGGAGUGAUGGCCCAGUGCUGUGGUGUUGCCUUUCGUUAUUGGCAAGAUGAUGUGUGCCCUUCCACGUGUCCACAUGCAAAGGUGCGACUCAUGGAAUGAAGACAGCUCAGCAGCCUCUAGUUGCUGGGACAGAAAUGCAAGUCAGUGGGCUCUGGCCUUUCUCCCAGGCUGUGUUGCCGCCUUGGUGGCUGAAGGGGCACGACUAGGGGGUGUGCUUGGCAGAGCCUGGGGUGGUGUCCUCUUUCAUCCCUGUAAAUAACACAUUAGUGGCUUGAUCUGCCAUGAAGCUGACAAUCACAGUCAAUAUUUGAAGGCUGGGAAGCUGUGUGGGCCCUGCUUCUGGGACCUGUUGUCAGCUGAUGAUGUGGUCCUGCCUGGGUGCCUGUGAGUCAGAUGGAAGAGAUGGCCUCACAUCAUGAACACUAGCUCCACCUACGUCAUGUUGGACUUGACUCUUUACAGAGCACCUAGGAAGGGAUAUUGAUGAGUGAACCAGUGCCCAGUCAUCGAGCUAAUUAUUUGCCCCAGAAAGGUUAACAUACUGAUGGCAGACAGGGCAUUGUGGGCAGCAGGGCACUCUGUUCAUUUAGUCUGGUCCACAGGUGCGAUCAAGACAAUUCCUUAUUGUCUUGGAACCAGCCCCUUUAAGCUUCCCUAUGCAGCUCUGUGACAGCUUCACGGGGAAACCUGUGAGACCACUGUCCUUUUGCCAGACCCACCCCCACUUUUGGGAUUAUCCCUCUUCCUAUGUUUUCUGAGGCUUUUUGGUUUUUUAGUUUAUUUUGUAAUUAGAGCAGAAAAGGUACAGUAAUUGGACAGGAGGGUUGAGAGCGCUAGAAUGAGCCAGGAUGUGGUGGGGAAAUGGGGUGGGGAGCCCCGGACCUUAAGGCAGCAUGCGUGGGCGGGGGGAAGGGGAGGGGGGAACAGACUAGGGUGCAGUUCUAGGUGGACCACUAGAUGGCGCUCACACAUUGGUGUUCAGACGGGACCAUGGCACUUUCCACUUGGGGCUUCUGUAAAAUCUCCCCACGAACUAGCCAAAGCUUUGUAUCUGUCAUCCUGCCAUUCAUCCCUCUAACCUCUCUUGAUCUUCUACACAUAGGUAAUAGGAAUAUGUAUAUGUUCCUCUGUAGUUCAGUUUUCUCAACAUUUAGUGACCUUAAAAGCCUGGCAGGAAUACCUUCAAAGCCUCCCACCUUGUUAGUGCAUUGCCACAUUUUCACUGUUCUCCUAAGCCAAUGUUUACAUGGCAGUAAAUCCAUGUUUAGAGUAGCUAAUAGAGAAACCUGUUUCUCUCUUCAGUCAUUCUGAGGGUAUGUUUGAUAAAGAAGUGGAAAUUAACAGGAUAAGAGUUACUGAAAGGAUAAUAGGUAACAAAUGUUUUUUUUUAAAUUUCCAUUCAAAAUUACUUGUUGGUAAAUUGUAAAAUAUUUAAAAUUAAUGAGUUAUUUUAUCAGAUCAUUUUGUGUUGUUAGAGAAUUUUCACCAAGCCGAGAUUCAAAUGCAAUCUGUCUUACUGCAUACUGCUGGCUCUAGGAAGGAGGAGGGACAGGCAGGGAAUCAUGGCUGGUGUUGUUAUCUUUACCAAGGUGCGUGUGGUGUGAAAGCAAAACCCAUCUUAAAUUCAUCAUCCGUUUUGAUGUUGCACAGAAAUGAAAAUUAAUUUCUAUAUGUCAACUAAAAUGGAUUCUGCCCCUGCCUGGUUCAAUUCUGUCUUAGCUUCGUGGACAUCUUGGGGAGCUGCUCUGCUGGUACAUGCAGACGUGCUUCAUCUGUGCACUUCUUAGCUGAGAUAACAGUGCUCCGAGCCCCACUGCUAAGGUUAACCUGUAUACUGCAGAAGGACAACAGAUGGAAAUUCUGGUUUGCAGCCACUGCAGAAAAAUAAAAACAUGUUCCAAAGGGAAAAGGAUCUUGUAUUUCUGCGUUUGAACCUUUGAUCUGCAUUCACAUCUGAAGGGAGGGCUAAACCUUUUGGUGGAGACACAUGGCUUUGCAUCUGUGAAAACACAGCUGUAUAGAGCAAAACAAAACUAGUGGAAAAUACAAUGGUUUUGCUGUGUCAGGCUCGCUGCUAAUGCUUGAAUUCUACAUAAAUAUUGUUUUAUGAUAGUUCUUUCAGAAAUUUUCUUGACUUUCCAUAUAAGUGUUCACUAAUGUUAUUCUUUUGAAUUCAGAUUUGGGGCUUUUUAGAAUUAAGGCACAAUUUAAAAAUCCUUUAUUUUAAAAAGGCAGUAAAAUAAACAGACUGUAGUUAGGUAGUAAUAACAUUAUCUAAAUUUAGACCUCAUUGGAGGAGGGGGAGAUGGGGAAAAAUUAAACCCUUUAAAAGAUGAAGGUAAAGUUCUAACUUUAUCCUUGAUUCUGAAUGUAUUUUCUUUUUAGGAAAUGCUGCAUGCAUUUCGUACUGCAGGUUGCAGUGUGAAGGGUCUUUGAAGCACUCUAAAGAGACUUAGCUGCUUUGUUUUGAGCAAUUAAGAUUUGUUAUUGAGUGAAUUAAGCAGCUCUGCUUUGGCUCAUCUGUAAAUAGUGGUCUUCAGCGAGUUUUUUGAUCCGCUUUUCCCAGGGAACAGAAGCCAAGUCGGCUUCCUUAGGAGCUGCUUGCCCUGAUCUUCAUGGUUCCUCCCAGUCCCGGGCAGAACCCAAGCCCGUGGUCUCCUCGCCCUGCCCUCGGGGUUUUCUGCUAUUGACCUGGUGGGGCCCUCCAGCCCUCCCUGCCCGCUGGUGCCCCGGGCCCUCUCGGCUGCAGGAGUGGGGCCCAGGGACAUCGUGGACAAAAGCCGAGGAUGCCUGUUCGAUGUGCGAGCAGAAGGCCACCUGCAUGCGCUCUGCGGAGCAACCUGCCGGGUUUCAGAAGGGGGGCCGCCUCCGGGGAACGGCCACGGCGCCCCUCCUACCCCUCCCGGCACCAGUAGCUUCAUCCUCAGGCCCACUCUGGGUGAAACGUGUGGGGUUCUCAAGAGAAAGAAUUUUAGGUUUGUCGAUAGUAAUCAUCGCCCCCAGCGCUCCCCCACGCUGCUGGAGAGAGCGCAGACCGGGUGACAAGUCUUCCAGGCUCCCAGAAAGUUUCCUUUGCGAAGCGCGGGUUCCGCAAACCCCUUCCAGGAAGGACCCGGAGGGAACCAGCGCGAAGCUCCGAGUCGGCCGGGGACCCUGACUGAGGUCUUUCCUCCGGCGUCCCUCUCCCCCGCGCCGGCCUCCCCUCCUUUCAACUCUCUGCGCUUUGAAACCGUGGAGUCGGGGUGGCCGGGCCCUCCGGCCCGGCCACUGGCCCGGGCGAUAGGCAGCGGGCGGGUGUGGACAGGAACAAGGGGGUGGGUGGGGAGGAGGCCUCGGCCAGAGCAGGUCCUCUGCGGAGUUUCGGAAGCCGGGUUUAUCCAUUUUGAUUAAAGAAAAGUAAAAAAUCCCCAAAACCAAACAACAAAAACCCUCUCCCAACCCCCAACGCGCCUCCACAGCUGCAUUUUGUUCCUGGGACUGUUGGUGUCACCAGAGCCUCUGUUUUUGCAGCUCUAGCCUCCAUUGCAAAGCACUAGUAAAGCCUAUUAAUUUUUCAGGCAAAACAGAUCAAGCCUGCCUUUGAUGCUGCUGUUUCCUAAUUUAGUAUUCAAAAGUAAAGAAUCCUACUACCUUCUCUUCACUUUUUACAUAAUUAAAAGAGUUUAUCCCCCCAGUGGCAAAGAACUAGUCGCUUAGUAUUUUUUGAAGUGAAAAACUUGGUAUCACACCUGUUUUUAUGCUCUUUCCUAAACAUAACCAAUAUUUACUCUUUGCUGGUACCUAGUUGCAUGCUAUUCACCCUUGCAUUUUAAUUUCUGACACAGAGAAACUAUAAACAGUAUUCUUCCUCUGACUCAUCUUCUAAGCUUAAAUAUAUGUUUGUAUGUGCAUAUAUAUUUUUUCCUCUAACAUUAAGAAUGCAAUUUAAAAUAAAACUGUUGAGAAUCAUUGAUUGCCCUAACUUGUGCAUGACUCCUCAUCUUACACAGGAGCAUCACAAGUUCAGUGAAGUGGACUUUCGCAGGUUUCCGUCUGCUGUGUUUAAUAGCAAAUUGUGACCCUUCAAACCACUUCAGGGCCUUUUGUGUUCUUAUCUGUGCAUUUCAAUACUUGCUGGGAAGUGCCUUCAGUUUCACUACAUAUGCAAAAAGCCCAGCUUGAAUUUUUUGACACCCCCUUUUCAUUUGUUGGUGGAGUCCUGUUUUCUAUUGUUUGCUUGUUGAUGUUGGCCAAAGUCAUUUAUUUAAUGAUGCCAGAAAUACUAUGCCUUAUUCUUUAUUGGCAUGAAAUUCUAAAGCAUCCGGGAGUAGUUUAAAAAUUAAUGCAUGCCGUUGAAACUUACAUAUUGGUGUAGUUUUAUUUUUCCCAUCAUAAGGUAGAUGAUAUUAUAAAGGUAUUAUAUAGUAAUGGUCACCAGAAGCCAAUUAAAACCACUAGGAUUCUAUCAAAAACCUGUUUGGCGGCAUAAAUAAUUGAUAUGUGGAAAUAAAGCAGCGUUCUCUGGGCAGGGCCCUGCUGUACAGACCUGCGUAGCGUGAGCAGUCUCUCUUCUGUGAACCAGGAGACAAUUUCUGGGCAUAAUAUCACCUGGGUUUUAAAAAAUAAUAAGGCCACAGACACAUUUUUUAAAAAACUUCCCUUGCCUAUGGAGACAGAGAGGAGAUAGUGAUGUUAUUUUCAGGUAUUUGAGCUUCUUAGAGAAAAAGAAACAAAUACCAACCUCCUCAGGAGCUAGGUGCAAAUGGAAUAAAUCGAGGCACUCCACUGACACAUCCAGCUUGUUUUAAAUGAUGUGAUUAAAAAGGACAUCUGAGAACAAAUUUAUGAAGUUGUUAUGGCAACUGAAAUACUUGGAUUGAAAUGUGUGUAUCUAAAAGAUGAAAGAUUGCAGGAAACCGGAGAAACAAGCACAGCAUUGUGUUUGGGAAAGGCAAGUGAACAGUGGUAGCCAAAUAUUAUUCCACCGUCGGUCAUCCUUCAGGGUAGCUGCCUCGGUUUCCACUUUUAGAAACGUGUGGUGAUUGAUGCUUUCACAGACUGUGUUGUCCCAAGUCCCCACGCCUCGUACCAGCGUUUGCUCAUUGGUCGUUUGACCUGUUGAGAACAGAGUCUCUGUAUUGUGUUCAAUGCAGGGGUGGAUUUAGAGUUGCCUCUGCAUCUACCCAUUAAGUUUAUACUCCCGUGUUCUCAUAUUAACGUCUGUGUUUGUGAAUAGUCUCUCUCGUCUUUUCAUUCAUUAUCUCCCCCAGUUCUAACCCACCAAUGGCCACCAACAAAUAGCCGCACUCAAAGGAGUCAAAAUAGUUAAAUCUUCCCUAGCAUUCUUUACUCUGUUCUAAAAGCUACAUAUUCCAUCUACAUAAUUUGAUUCUAUUUUAAUCUCCUGGUUUUUAAAUUUUCCUCAUCAGUACUUAUAAGAGUAUUGAGUAAUUGUUUCUUUAAAUCACAGGCAAGGAUAUUUAAAAUUAACAUGUACCAAUGUGUGUUGCGGUGCGUUGAAAAUUCGGUACUUUGAGUCACAUCUAGAAUGCUUUCGAUUUUUUCCAUCAUUAGAUUUCAGAUACAUACAGUGUCCAAAAAAUAGUUUUCAAAAAAUGUUACCACAAAUUUCUCACAAUAUAUUUUGGGUUUUUUUACUUUAAAUGAAAAAAUAAUUAAGUGUCAAUUAUAAUGAUUUUAGUAGACCAUCCCAUAAAAAGUAUGCUAUUUUAAUUAAAAAACAUUUUGACAAAACAUACAUUUACACUGAAAAAUUCAAACGAAAUGGUUUCUUCUUUAGCAGUAUUGAUUGUUGAAUAUUGAUUGCCAAGUUAUUUGGUCUCAAUUUUAAGCAUAAAACUCUUUGCAUUGAAUAGUCUUAAUCCCUAAAGCAAAGCAAAGUAAAAGAGAAAAAAAACAGGUAGAAUUUCCACAAAAUUGUAGUUCCCUUAACCCAUGAAUUAGAACUUUUUACUCUAACUCCGGUCACUCUGGUUUUUUGAGUUAGACAUGAGGGUACAAUAAAACAGCUUCUUUUUUGUAAUAGAUUGUUUUCCUAAUUCUUGAAAGACUGAGAUGAAAACAUUUUUCUCUUCUAUUGCAAAAUUAACUGCUGUUACUCUGUCAGACCAGUUAUUCACUCUAAAUGUCUUAUUAAACCUGUAUAUUUAUGUUUUUUAAUCCCUUUGUGCAUAUGUACAUGGAAGCGAUUCCAUUUUAAUUUCAAUUUUGAAAACCCAUAGAUUGAAGAUGAUAUAAUCAGAGUAAUAAUAAGGAUUCCCCAGGUAUAUUAAACGUAAGAUUUGGGUCUUUGUUAUGAAAAUGAAUUUCCUUUUUCCUUUCUUUAGUCUUUCCAUUUUAAGGACUUUUUUUUUUUAAGUAUGAUUUUGAUGUUUCCAAAGUGGAUGCUAUUUUAUUUCAGGUGGGUCAUUUGAUAGUUUGUUGAUGUUCUCAAGGUCUCUAAACAAAGUCUGAUGUGUUAACAGUCUUAUUAACGAUGUUAAAAUAGAAUUAACAGCUUGUGGAUGCCUCCAGAGCACAAUAGCCUGUCAGCCUCCCCUGCCCCCUUAUAAAUUGUGCCCCUGCUGUCAUCCCUUUGUUUCAGGCCCAAUCAGCAAACUAAACUUUUGUGGAGAGAGAAGGCAGUUCAAGUGUUUCUGCCGCAGCUGAAGGGAGGAGCUAAUGUGGAAUUUAUUGGGAGACCAAUCAGUGCUGGAGGGAAGAAUGACCCCAAAUUGGAAGGACUUUGUUGACCCCCUUGGCUCCCUGACCUUUCCUUGCUAUUUUGUCCCUUUAAAGAGGUUUACUUUGGUUGUCGUUCACUUUGUGAUGCUUUUAGUGAAAGCCCCAGAAGUCUUCAAAGUUUUGGAUUUAAGAUCCCUCUCAGCACAGAUUUAAUCGCGAUGCGCGAUUUUGAGUUGAUGUUAACACUCAGAAUUGUGUUUUAAAAAUCUGAUACAAGCUAUUGAUAAUUAUUUAAAGGGGUAGAAUUUCAUCAGUUCUUUUGAGCCAAAAUGGAUUCUAAAUCUCUUCUAGUAACUCUUUCGUAUAGCUACUUUCAUAGAGAGUCAGAUUAGUUAUUAAUGUUAGACUAUUGGUUCUAUUUCGUUGAAUUUAUGCUUUAAAAAAAUAGGUUUGUGUAUUCCAAGUCUUUAAAACUGUUUUUUUUUUUUGAUCAGGCAAUAAUUAUAGUGAGUCGGAAACAAAUAUUUUUAAAGGAACCCUCAUUUUUUCAUUAGUAUUACUAGUAACAAAUUUGACAAAUUGUCACAUUUAAAAGAAUAGAUUUAUGGGAUAGUCUGACAAAUGGAUACCACUUUUUCUUUGCUAUUGUCCAAUUGAAUAAUUUAUAAAGGGCAGCAUAUCUGUAAAAUAGUUGCCCGCUCUCACUGAGAGCUCUCACUACACCAGUUUCGGUAAGGGCGAAUGAGACAUUAUUAAGAGUUAAGUAUUUUUCAGAUUGCUUGACAACGUUCCUUGUUGACUGACCAGCGUUCUUCCCUCUUGUGAUUUGGUUUGUUGCUUAUAUUUGCUUUUCAACCGGCCACUGUUCAAGUGUUCCGAGUUGGUCACUGCUGGUACAAAGAAAAGACAUCUCAGGCUAGAUGCAGGACACUACAUAUUUUCUUCAAACUGAGGUUAAAUAAAAUUACUCAAAUGCAUCCAAGUACAGGGAACAAGAUGCAGUUAAUGAAUUAUGGUUUUGAAAUAUGAUCAUUUGCCAAGGAAUAUGCUGUGCUGAAAAUGGAGCAGGGUAAACUCAGCGUCCUCUUAGCUCAUCGGUGCCGCUCAGGUAAACCCCGAGGGGAAUAUUUCCUUCUACUUAAUAAACCCUAAGUAUAUGCAUCCAUUGAUUGAAUGGUGUGGGAAACUGGAGCAAACAGGGCAUCGUUUGAUACUAGCCCUGGGUGGGGGUAUAAAUAGUAUUUUUCAGUUGGCAUCCUUGAGUUGCGCUGCUUGAUUGGGGCCACUUUACCUGGCUGAGGAAGAGAGUCUCUGCAGUAGCUGUCCCUUAACAGUAACUGCUUGGUACCUUUACCCACAGUGCCCAUUGCUGCCCUUCCCCAUCCCAUGUCUAGUGUGCCCUCACAUUCCACUGCUGGUCAGCAAAACCUUCUUGUCAGGAAGUGUAAUCAAGCCCUUUUUUGGUGUGCCCGCUGAAGGAGCACUCCAGGCCGUGGAGUUGGGAACAUGCCUCGACAUGUGGGCACCCUGCUUGCCUGCCUGUUGAGACCAAGCAUCGAUACUGUGUGUCUACCUGAUGGAAGUGACCAGUACGUGUCUGCAUGACUUGGGGACACUAAGAAAGCCAAAGGGAUUAGCAGCAAACAAAGAGAGCUUGUCACCUUUGUGCGGAAGCCAGCUGGCAUCUCACAGGGACAACCUACAACCUGAGCUGCUGCAUCCUCACUAAAUCUGGGCCUGUAGGGACCCUGUUUUACUCCUCCUUCCCAGAGCUUAUUACGGGUCUGGCUACCAAAGGGAAAGAGGGGAGAAUAGACCAGGAGCCUUAUGCUAGAACCAUUUCUUUUGUUUCAGGUGAUGCAGACAGAGGUGAAACUGCAAAUUUAAUGAAACUUUAAUAAUCAGUACAAUGUUUCUCUUUAAGAACUUUGUAAAUAGCAUUUAUCCUUCAAGAGUUCUUUCUCUUUUUGCAAUUAUUUUAUAAACUUUAAGGAAAAAGAGAAAAAGUCAGUGGUUCCAGCGUUUGCUUUAGUCUGUGACUUAAAUGGGUUGUAACUCUUGACCACUGACAUUUACCUAGAGAAAUCAGUGGUCGUAGAUGUUGAGGUUGAUGUCUCUUCGGCUCUGGGACCAAUCCCCUUGGACAAAAGUUUUCCUGUGUUCUUAGUAUCCUGAACUGGCUGCAGCAACUUUUAGGAAAAUAAAGGUUACAAAUAAAAUUUCUGACAAUUUGACUGUUUGCUUUUGCAUUUCAAAUUUGUCAAACGUAGAGAUAAUUUUUCUUUAGAACCUUUGUAAUUCCCUGAAGCAGCUACUUUAAAGCCAACUGUGAAAUGCUGCUUUAGAAAUAAUCCACAUAAACAUGUUUCUGUAUUUAAUCACAAGAGAGAUUAGAGAAUGGAUGUUUUAUUUUUCAGUAGUUUUUGUUCUAUAAAAAUAUUAAAUUGCUGUUAUUAUUACUAAAGAUAUCUUUGCAUAGCACUUUAUAAUUUUCAUGCUCUUUUACAAAUACUGUUACAUAUAAUCUUUGAGUUCUAGAGGAAGAUAUUACUAUCUUGGUUUUGUAGGUGAAGAAACAAUAAAUGCACACAUUUGUAACAUGCCACAUAGUGCCCGCUUUGUAUUACUAGAAAAUCAUUUUAAGAAAUAUAUUUGGUAUGUAAAAUGCCUGGAAACACAAUGUAAAUUUGGAACGAAGAAGCUAUUUUGAUUCCACAUGAUCUCUGUAACAUAUGACCAAAAAAAAAAAAAACCCAGGAGAAUAAAAUCAUCUGAUAAUGUAAAAUUCCUGUUUUAGUACACAAUUACAUGAAUCUUAUGAUUGCUUAGUUUUCAUGUUUAUAAAAUAUAUGCCCCAUAAUUAUGGCAGAAUAAUAGGAACCCUUUCCUUUCAAUUUUUAGGACAAAUUAUAAUCAAAAUAUUAUAGCAGAAGAAUGUUUUUCAAUUAAAAAGUGAUUUGGUUAAAAUAUGAUUUUUUUUCUAAAAUCUCAAAAUGGUCAAAAUAUAUUUUAAAAUAUAUUUGUUAUAUUUUAUUAAAAAAAAUUUUCUCCCACUUGUUAAAGAUUAACUGGCAUAAGUAUUUGUUUUGGGGCAAUUCACUGCCGGCAUUCAGAAACAGAACUAUAUUAUUGGGCCCAGGAAAAUCUGAUUAGUGUUUCUAAGAAUUAGUAUAGCACAGCAAGACAGGGAAGCAGUCCAAAGUGCUAAAGGUUAAAAGCAAUUUAUAAAAAUUAGGAAAAGACCUUACUUGUUAAAAAAAAAAAAACACACACACACGUUUCUUAAUAAUUAAGAUGGUCUAAGUGAUAUUCAUGAAUAUUUUUCAUAAUAUUUUCAUAUUAUUUUUACAAAAAUACUUUGAGGCCAGCAGAGGAGGAAAAAUUAAUAUAAGAAAGAAAACAAAAAAUUUUCCUAAUUUACAAGAUCCAAAAUCUUAUGAAUAUAGUUUUUAGUGAAAAAAUUUAUUAAACUUUUACACAAUAACUCUAAGAAAUGUCUCUACAUAUGGUCCCAAGGGUUAAAAAAAAAAAACAAAACACCCAAAACUCCUCUGGGGAAAUAAUCAUUUCAUGAAAAGCAGUCUCUUUAGAAUUUCACUGGCAUCACUCUGAGAAUCGAAUUGAGCUUAAUUUCUGUCUUUGUGAUACUCAAAUAUACAUUUUGCAUUCUAGAAGUUUAGAGGAGGUAUUAUAUGUCCAUGGUUUUCUUUAAACAACUCUAACAUCAAAAUGGUCAAACUGUUGGACUGAUUCAUGUUAGAUAAAACAGAUGGGAUUCUCAGAUCGUGCACCGUUCAGCCGUUUGAUGGAAUUCGCGCCACCCUGACCAGCGAGCCCAGAUGGCGCUUAAAUCUGUCACUCUUUAACGACCCUACUGUUUUUUAAAAAUAUUUUUAUAUUUGAGCUCAUUCAGUUAAUCUGAGAGAUUAAUCUUUUCCAAGAUAGUCUGGGGGGAGGCUUUACUGAGGGUUUCACUUUAAGGAGCUGAAGGAGAAUAAGAAGAAUGAUAAGGCCUCCUGGACACAAGACAAUUUGCUAGAAGGAAUCUGGGGAGGAAGGGCUGGUGGUCCUUGGGCUUUGGGAUGUUUUCGAGGCAACAAGGUGGAGAAGCUCACAUGAAGAGUGGUAGUGAUGGGGGUUAAAGGAAGAGGGAAUGGACGGGGAGGGCCUGGUGCGGGGACGUGGAGGUAAACACUGACAUCGCCCUUGCCAAGCUUAGAUCUCAGUAAGGGGCUAAGUGCCAUCUCGGACCAUACCUGGGUGGCUUUAGGCAGCCUGACCCUCACUGCUUACCAUGGGGAUGACUUAGUGGGUGUGCCCCCGAGCAGACCCCACCAUGGGCCCCAAUGUGAGAAGCCUCUCUGGGAUGGCUCUGGAAAGAACCUGUCUGAGCACCAGAACUCGCACAAAUCUCAUGGGUUUUUUUUCCCUGUAGGUUUUUCCCCCUUUCUUAAAUCAUUGUUUUGAGCCAGUCAGCCUUCUGAAAUGCUUCAGUCAUUUGGGGGGUAAGAUGUUGGCCAGCCCCUCCCUCCCGAAUCUCUAACCUUGGAUACAUUUGCAGAGUGGCUUGGAAUUGCUUUCUACUCCUGCUGGGAUAAGGAAAGGAAAAAAUGAAUGGUUUUUCAUUAUGCACAAAUGGUAUUUUUUCCUGCAUUUGAAUCAGAUGUAGCAGGUGCCAAAAUAUGGUGCAGAAUUUACAGUAUUAAUGUAAAAAUUUCGACUGUCCCAAAAAGCCACCAGAGAUGGACAAAUCCACCUAUGUUAACAAAAGUAAAAAUACCCUGCUGUCUUUAAAGAUGUUCCUGGUGGCGUUUGGGCUGCUCUGUGCCAGUUUUUCUGGGGAUCAUGUGAUGCUGCCUAUACUUGGGUGUCUUGUGGAAGGCAACGGAUGCGUCUCAACCUGCAUAUAAUACGGGGGCAACCGUCUUGUGCCCACCUGAGUGUCUGCACACUGAAGAGGUCUGCUUUAGAGAGGUUUUCCUCCUGAAAUAAGGAUAUCUGAGCUUCACAUACACCCAAAAGCAAGCAGAGAAGCAAAUUGUGUUGGGAGGUUCUUUUGGAAGGUGUGGGGCUUUGGGGGUCUUGGGGACUGGGGGACUGUCAGAAGUCACUGCGCUCAUAGAACAUGGUGGGAACUUACAGCAAAAACUUCUCCACAGAAAUGCCCCAUGUAACCACCCCUUGAGGAUGGAGCCACCUAUGUUGUAAACAGAGUGGAAGAACAUCAAGCUCAUAAUAUAUCAUUUUCAUCAUAAACCUGUAAGCACACCACAAUCACCAUUUCACCUCCCCACCCACACACACACAGGGACAUUAUGGAAAGGAUUGCAGUAUAGUCCUACUUAAAGAAUAUUGCAGGCUGGGCAUGGUGGCUCACGCCUGUAAUACAAGCACUUUGGAGGCCAAGGCGGACAGAUCACCUGAGGUUGGGAGUUCAAGACUAGCCUGACCAACAUGGUGAAACCCAGUCUUAAAAAUAAAAUAAAAUUAAUUAAAAAAAAAACAAUAUUGCUUUUUUUUUUUAGACAAUAAACAAUUGCUAGAAGAGUGGAGAGACCACAUACAUGUAACUGUGGCAGGUUUAGGGUUCUGUGUAAUCGGUAAGACAUGAGAGAGAGAAAGAGUGUCUACUGGCCUCAGUUUCCUAGUAGUUUUGGGUGUUUACAGAGUACAAUUGAACAUUUUAAGGGAAGCAAUUUGUGGUGUGUGCAUUGAAAAUUAUUUUGAUGAAGUUAUGGAAUAUAUUUGAUAUUAUCUUAAAAACUAAUUUCCUACUUUUUUCACUCAACUACAUAUUUCUGAUAGUCAAAACCAACAUUCUCUUUUAAUUUUACUAGUCAACUCAUUUCACACUCACCUGAUUCUCUCUAAAAUCAAAAAUCUUUCUAAUAUUCCAGUGGGCAAAUGUUCUGUUUUGGAACAAAAGGAUAUAUGCAUUUGAAGAAUUUUCUAGUCACCUGAGAAAUAAAAGUUUGCCCAUCCUUUUUUAAUUAAUGCUUGCCAAGUAAUUAGCAGUGAAAAGAUGAGGGGCAAAAAUGAAUCGUCUUCAAUAGAACAUUGGAGGCUGGGCAUUGUGGCUCAUGCCUGUAAUUCUAGCACUUUGGGAAGCUGAGAUGGGAGGAUUGAUUGAGGUCAGGAGUUCGAGAACAGUCUGGACAACAUGUGAAACCCUGUUUCUACAAAAUAUACAAAGAAUAGCCCUGGUGGCACAUGCCUGUAGACCUAGUUACUUGGGAGGCCGAGGUGGGAGGAUUGUUUGAGCCCAGAGGCAGAGAUUGCAGUGAGCCAAGAUUAUACCACUGCACUCCAUCCUGGACAACAGAGUGAGGCCUUGUCUUUAAAAAAUAUUUUUUUAAAUCUUUAAUCAAACACUGGUGCCCAAACGUGGUGGCUCACGCCUGUAAUCCCAGCACUUUGGGAGACCGGGGUUAGGUGGAUUACCUGAGGUCAGAGUUUAGACCAGCCUGGCCAACAUGGUGAAAAGCCAUCUCUAGGCUGGGCACAGUGGCUCACGGAUAUAAUCCCAGCACUUUGGGAGGCCGAGGUGGAUGGAUCAUAAGGUCAAGAGAUUGAGACCGCCGGGCGCGGUGGCUCAAGCCUGUAAUCCCAGCACUUUGGGAGGCCGAGGCGGGUGGAUCACCGGGUCAACAGACGGAGACCAUCCUGGUCAACAUGGUGAAACCCCGUCUCUACUAAAAAUACAAAAAAUUAGCUGGGCAUGGUGGCGCGUGCCUGUAAUCCCAGCUACUCAGGAGGCUGAGGCAGGAGAAUUGCCUGAACCCAGGAGGCGGAGGUUGCGGUGAGCCGAGAUCGCGCCAUUGCACUCCAGCCUGGGUAACAAGAGUGAAACUCCGUCUCAAAAAAAAAAAAAAGAGAUUGAGACCAUCCUGGUCAAUAAGGUGAAACCCCGUCUCUACUAAAAAUACAAAAAUUAGCUGGGCAUGGUGGUGUGCACACCUGUAGUCCCAGCUACUCGGGAGGCUGAGGCAGGAGAAUUGCCCUAACCCGGGAGGCGGAGGUUGCGGUGAGCUGAGAUCGUGCCAUUGCACUCCAGUCUGGGUAACAACAGCGAAACUCCGUCUCAAAAAAAAAAAAAAGAAAACCCAUCUCUAUUAAAAAUAUAAAAAUUAGCUGGGUGAGAUGGCAGGUGCCUGUGAAUCCCAGCUACUCACGAGGCUGAGGCAGGAGAAUCACUUGAACCGGGAAGGGGAGGUUGCAGUGAGCUGAGAUCGUGCCUCUGUACUCCAGCCCCGGAGGCAGAGUGAAACUCCAUCUCAGAAAAAGAAUAUUGGACAUUUGAACAAGAUAAAUGUGUUUUGGUAGAAGAAAAAUGAGAACUAGCGCUUGUCACUGCUGAUACCUCAAUCCCCUCCCUGGGGAUGAGGAUGGUCAAUGGUACAGCAACCCCAGCCUGCCCAGCUUCUGGGAUGCCAAGCUAGGGGUGGCCUUGCCAGGUCCAAGGUGCUGGAGCCGAUCCAGGAAAUAGGAUGAAGGGAUAGAAUCACACUAACAGGCCAUGAUAUGAUUGAAUCAAGGUACUAAUCUAGAUGAAGAGUUGGGGGUACAGAAGCCAGAUUCACCAGGGGCUCCAGGGCAGAACAAGCUGGUUGGGGGUGAAGGCAGGAGGUAGAAGCCAAGGAAGUGUGGGCGGAUCUACAGAUGCCUUUAUAGGUCCUCAGCAUCGAAUGAGGAGUGAGGCAUUAGAGGCGAGGAGAUAUAUGAACAUGUAGCUUGUCCUUUCUUCCUUCCAGAGCCUUCUCUAGCCAUUUGCAAAAAUUCCACAAGCGUGUUAUGCAGUCAUUUUUUUAAUAAUCGGAGAGAUGGGAGAGGAUAGUGGGGGAGGGUGUCAUAAGCCUUGAAAAAGUUAGGUAUUCCAGAGAACCCUAGUUUUCCAAAUAGGGAAUGUCGAGUCGGGUGGUAGUUUCAAAUCAUUAUUCCAUUUUCUUUACCUCUGAAAAUAUUUCCUAAUGUAUUGAAAGGCUACCUUCAAUUGCAUGAAUAUCGUAAAGUUUCUUUUUCAUUCCCCAUGAAGAUUCCUAUUUUGAGCUUUUAAGAGCUGUUACAACUGAGAUAUAAACAGUAUUCUGCACCCCACACAACAUACAUCUCAUGGUUAGUGACAGGGUUCCUAGAACUGCAAGACAAGUUUGGGCUUAGUCAAUCUGUUAAGUUUCCUUGUAGGCAUGUUUUUUCAUUCUAUUGUGUUAGCAAGGGGCCUGUUAGAAAUUUCCAUGUGUAUAAAUGAUACUUUAAGAGCUGGGUGCAGGCCGGGCGCCAUGGCUCACACCUGUAAUCCCAGCACUUUGGAAGGCCAAGGCAGGCGGAUCACUUGAGGUCAGAUGUUCAAGACCAGCCUGGCCAAUGUGGUGAAACCUUGUCUCUACUAAAAAUACAAAAAAAUUAGGUGUGGUGGAGGGUGCCUGGGCGACAGAGCAAGACUCUGUCUCAGAAAAAAACAACAAAAACAAACCAACAAACAAAAAACUGCAAAAGUCUUCCCAGGAGGUGACAGGGACUCAAACAGGUAGGUGAGAAGGGAUGUGUGACAGACUACCCUUGGGCCUGGACUCACUUCCCUGACUUGUGCACCUGCCUCGCACACACAGAGUCCCCUUCUCACGUCCUCUCCUUCACUCCACCCUUCACCUUCGCCUUUAGGGGCGUCGCCUCUCAGACAGGCACUACAGGCGUCCUGGGUGAUUCUUGAGUGAUGGGUAUGUCUCAUGUCUUUUUUUUUUUUUUUUGGAGACGGAGUUUCACUCUUAUUACCCAGGCUGGAGUGCAAUGGCGCGAUCUUGGCUCACCGCAACCUCCGCCUCCUGGGUUCAAGCAAUUCUGCCUCAGCCUCCUGAGUAGCUGGGACUAGAGGCUGCGCCACCAUGCCCAGCUAAGUUUUUGUAUUUUUAGUAGAGACGGGGUUUCACCAUGUCCACCACGAUGGUCUCGAUCUCUUGACCUCUUGAUCCACCCGCCCUGGCCUCCCAAAGUGCUGGGAUUAUAGGCAUGAGCCACCGCGCCCAGCUGUCUCAUGUCUUUUUGAAGAUUAUACACUUCCUUCAUACAGAGCUGUAUUGUCAGUAGCUGUAGUCCCUCUUAUUAGAGCCCUUCUCAGGGAGGAAUAGAUAUACUGUAGGUGACUCCUGGAAUCUUUUUCUUUGGGAGUUUCUUUUUCUUUUCUUUUCUUUUUUUUUUUUUUUUUUUGAGACAGAGUCCAACUCUGUCACUCAGGCUGGAGUGAUGGAGUGCAAUAGCUCACUGCAUCCCCAAACUCCUGGGCUCAAGUGAUCCUUCUGCCUCAGCCUCCAGAGUAGCUGAGACAACAGGCAUGCACUACUGUGACUAGCUGCCUGUCAGUUUUUCUUUACUAGAUGAGUAUAAGUAUCUAAACAUCCACGAUUUCAUUAUAAGAUUUACAGAAUUGAGAGACUCUCUUCUCGAUCACUGAGUGUAUUUCAGGGCUAUAAUAUACAGGGCUGGGCCUAGUGGCUCAUGCCUAUAAUUCCAGCACUUUGGGAGGCUUCAGCAGGUGGAUUGCUUGAGCCUAAGAGUUCGAGACCAGCCUGGGCAACAUGGUAAAACCCCAUCUCUACAAAAAAAUACCAAAAUUAUCCGGGUGUGGUGGUGUGUGCCUAUAGUCCCAGCUUCUCAGGAGAUGUGAGGAUCGCUUGAGCCCAGGAGGUUGAGGCUGCAGUGAGCUGUAAUGCUGCCAUACUCCAGCCUGGGCAAUGGAGCAAGACCCUGUCUCAAAAAAUACAUAUUAAAUAGCCACAAUACAUUUUACCUCAUUUUUCUCCACUGCUUAUUUUGUUUGAAAAUCUGUGUGACAAAAUUUCAUGCCCUUAACCCUUAAAGUUGCCAUUAGUCCGAUAUUGGCAGAUGAAGGGCCCAUAGGAUUUUCAACAGUUUUUCAUCCAUGUGCCCAGUGGCUUUUGAGGAGCCACCUUUUGAGGAUCUCCCCAGGGCACUGGGGAGAUCCAUCCAUGAACAGAAUCAAAAUCUGUGCCCCUAGAGCUUAUAUUUUAGCAGGCUGAUGAUAACAACAGAGAUAAAUAAGUUGGUCAUGGAGAAUUUUAGAAAGUGUCCAAUGUCAUGGUGCAAUGGAAAAAGUGCAGCAGGGGCCAGGCACGGUAGCCAAAUCAGCACUUUGGGUGACUGAGUUGGGUAGAUCACCUGAGGUCAGGAGUUCGAGACCAGCCUGGCCAAUAUGGUGAAACCCUGUCUCUACUAAAAAUACAAAAAUUAACCAGGCACAGUGGCACCUGCCUGUGAUCCCAGCUACUCGGAAGGCUGAGGCAGGAGAAUCACUUGAACCCAGGAGGCGGAGGUUGCAGUGAACUGAGAUCACACCGCUGCACUCCAGCCUGGGUGGCAGAGCAAGACUCUGUCUCAAAAAAAAAAAAAAAAGAAAAGGUGCAACAGGAGCAAAGGAAAUGAGGGGAGGCAGGAUGCUAUUUUAAAUAGGGGAUAGGGAUAAGCCUCAUUGAGAAGGUAAUAUCUGAGCAAAAGUUUGAAGGAGAGAAAGGACUUAACAUUGAGUAUUUUUGAGGAAGAAUGGUCUAAGCAGAACAGCCUUGGGUGUCCAUUGUUGCAAGGAGGACUGUGGGCUAGUGUGGAGUGAGAGGGGUCUACAGCAGUGGAGGUGAGACCAGAGAGGGAACCAGAGGCCAGAUCGCCUGAAGGAUGUUAGGUCUAGGUGGAAUAAGGAGUCACUGCAGAGUUUUUAUACAGAUCCUUCCAGAAGCAAUGUUGAGAAUACCACGUAGGAGGCGUAGGUUGAAGUAGAGAGUCCUGUCACGAGGUAGUUGCUGUGAGCCAGGUGAGAGCUGAUGGUGGCUCAAACUGAGUGAGAUGUACCUGGGAUGUGUUUUGAAGCAGAAUCAACGAGAUUUCCUGGUGGGUUGAGUAUUAUUUCUCAGUUAGAAAUAAGAGUCAAGGAUGACUGUCAAGGUUUUUGGCUUGUGUGACUGGAGAGAGAGAGUGGCCUUCAAGAUGGGUUUGGCAAUAAAUGGACAAGCUUUUUUGGGGGUAGGGGUAGAGCUCAAGAGUUCAGCUUUGGACAUGUUGAAUUUAAGAUACCUACUAGAAUUCUAAGUGGAGAUAUGAAGUAGGCAAUCUGGAGGAGAGAGGCUGGGUCUGGAGAUGUCCAUGUGGGAGCUGUUAGCAGAGAAAUGGUAUUAAAGUCUGCAUGGGGUCACAUAGGAAUGGACCCAAAGCUGACUGAGCAGUCAUACCCCAUUUCCCCCCAAAGACCCCAGUCCCAGGCAACUACUAAUCUACUUUCUGGCUGGGCGGGGUGGCUCACGCCUGUAAUCCCAGCACUUUGGGAGGCCAAGGUAGGAUGAUCAUGAGGUCAAGAGAUCAAGACCAUCCUGGCCAACAUGGUGAAACCCCGUCUUUACUAAAAAUACAAACAUUUGCUGGGCAUGUUUUUUGAGAUGGAGUUUCGCUCUUGUUACCCAGGCUGGAGUGCAAUGGCGCGAUCUCGGCUCACCGCAACCUCCGCCUCCUGGGUUCAGGCAAUUCUCCUGCCUCAGCCUCCUGAGUAGCUGGGAUUACAGGCACGCGCCACCAUGCCCAGCUAAUUUUUUGUUGACCUCGUGAUCCAUCUGCCUCGGCCUCCCAAAGUGCUGAGAUUACAGGCUUGAGCCACCGUGCCUGGCCCGAGAUUUUUUUUUUUUUUUUUAAUUUUUUUUUAGUGGACAGAGUUGAAAAGUAGGGCUGAGAGCACAAAUUCCUUUUCUUUUCCAAGUCCUUAGGUUCUUAGACUGUAUCAGCCAUAAUUACUGCCAAAUGUGACUCCCUUGUAUAUGGUCAUUUUUAUUUUUUUAGUUCUUGGAGAUAGUGCAAUAAGUCACCUCAAAAAGCGCAGAGAAUGAGGGAGAGAUCCACCUGCAUUGGCUUAUUGAAAAGAUUAGAUUAUUUCAGAAUCCAGGUCAUUGUUUACUUUUAGCUGCAUAAAAAUCUCCAAGUAGAUUUUCUUACAGCCUUUCCAAGAUAAAGAUGCCAGAAACGGCAGCCAAAUACAUUGACUUUGAGAGGAAAAAAAAAUGCUUGUAAUUGCCGAUCACUCCUUGGAUUUACUUCUAGGGAGCACCAAUUAAAAAUCUCAAAACACGUGGCUUUUUCUGUAAAAUUAUACUAAUGUGGAGGAAGAGCUUUUAUUAAAUAUGAGUGCGCGUGUGUCCGUGUGUGUGUGUCCGUGUGUGUGUGUGUGUGUUUUAAACGUUUCCAUAAUGAGUUCCCAAGUGCUUUUUUGGCAGUGGUUAUUAAAGCUUGUGUGUUUGCGAUUUAUUUGGCAAAAUGCCUUCAGUGAAGAAAGGAUAUAGUGUUCUCUUGGUUCUUUGCCCAAAGUAAUUUUGGAGAAGUCUGUGACUGUAUUUAGUUCAUGUCAUUCAUUGAAGACAAGUCAUUGUAAUUACAUUUGAUCACAAUCAGUUUACAGUUGUUUUAUCAUGUUUUCAUGCUGAAUAUCUACUCAGACAUCAUAGCAAAAUUUAAUGGCUACUGUUUUAUUUGUACAUAAAAAGAUUUAUAGCCUUUUUUUGCAGUACACAUCAGGUUUCAAUCAUCACUGCUGCAGAGUGAGAGGAAAGCUAUGGAUAAAGAACUAUCAGAAAUCCUUGACUACAUAAAAUUUUAUUUCAGGUCACCUUGCCAUAAAAGAUAUUGAAUGUACUUUGUGGCUUUUCCUCCUGACAUGCUAACCAUUGUAGAAGAGUUGCAGUAUUUGGAGGAAACCAUAUGAAAUGUGCAACUUAAUUCACUGAAGAUCGUUUACAUUUGCAUGUGUUUUCCACUGGAAGUAGGCAUGCCAGUAUUGUGAAUGGCCCCUUGGUGAUGCAGAGGAAAAGGCAGCGGCAUUAUCGAUAUUCUUGAGAUUGCAAAGCAAGUUAUCUUCUUGACCAUACGGCUGAACAUUUUGUCACUGUUGUUUCAGAAGGUCUGCCCUAACAUCUGCACUAUGGCAGAGUUGUGUUACAGGGUGUUAUUUACAGCUAACAAAUGCUGGAGGCUCUCAUGUAUCAGACAGUCCCUGAUUUGCUAAUUGUGGAAGCCUUGAUUGACCAGAGAAUUUGGGUGAAUUCACUAGUUACCUCCUUCCUGUCACUUCUCACCAUGCCUUACUUUUCCCAAAAGGUUGGUCCCAAGCUCUGCUGAAAUCUGCUCUUGGUCUGUAUGUUUGAGUCUACAUUGUUGAAGAAGCUCCCUUUACAAAAGUGUAAUUAAUGGGAAACUUUGACAUCCAGCUGAGAAAAUUAGUUUGCAUCAAAAAAAAGGCAAGAUAGAGGAUUAAAGAAAUUUUAGUCCUAAUCUAAUUAACACCAAUUAAAAGAUGCAGAUGAAUUUACACCAACAAAUUGUUAAUUAUGCACCAAUUUGCCUUUUUUCUGCAACCAAACUGAAAUCAGGAAAGUAUUAUCUUUUUUGUUUGAGGAGACUUACAUUAUGGGUUUGUCAUAAUCAUCUUUAUAUAAUUAAAGAAAGGCAAAAAGAGCGUGAAAUAUUUCAGUCUCCUGAUAAUUUAAUGUAGGUUAACGCUUUAUAAAAAUGGAAAGUACAAAAAAAAAAAAAAAUCCAAACAAGCAAACAAAAUCAGACAGUACAGGAUAAUUCUAUUAGCAUUCCUUCACUGACUUCAUUCCUCCACUGAUACUUACUGAGGACCUAGUAUAUGCUGAACACUUAAAUGCAACAAUUUUUUUUCUCAUUUAUAAUAUUUAAACUUGUUUCUAUUUCUAUACAUUGCUUAUUAGAAAAAUUGUAUAAGCUAAUUUUACCAAAAUUGUAUAAGCGAAUUAAACUCUGCCCUGGAUACAUGUCAAAAAAGGAGAAUCAAACUUUUGGGCUUCAAGGAAUGCUCUUAGUAUCCCAGAACUCUUGAAUGUGAGCUUUGAGGGUAUUCGGCUUCCAUCUUCCUCACUCGGGGAAUCUGUUUCUGUUUCCCAGUGUUACUCAGAUCUCCACUGUGCUGGGACUUUCUUUUUCCUGGUGAAUCACUCUUACAGCUCCUCAGAUGGUGAUCUGAGUAAUUAUGUAGGGGGUGGUGAAGCACAGAUCUGUUAUAUCUGCAGAUGACACAUCUGUCCAAAUGUCAUAUAAUGAGUAACCACAAUCCACUUUAUAUAAGCCAUAUUUCUUCUCUUUCCAAAAUGGGAAGGAGAGAGUGGGAGGGAAAUGUCUGGUAGAAAUGGGAAGAAAAGCAUUUCUAUGGAUUCCUCUAGCCAUUAAUUACAUAGCAAAUGCCCCAGCUGCCCUCAGAUUUCCAGGUGCACGUUAUUAAACUUUAUUCAAAGAAAAUGUUUGGCCAACUAGGUCCUGAUGUGAGAAACAGCAUCCUAAAAAGGUAUGUAUGUUACGUCUAAUGCAUGUGCUUAGGCAUUAAAUAAUAAAUGACCAUGUUAUCUUCUUGGGGCGAUAGUUAAUGUAAACACUUAGGAUGCUCGGUUUGUACUCUUCAGUAUUUGUGCUGGAAACUUGCAUUCACGGCUUUGAAAACUGGCUAGUGUUUUCAUGAGAAGUGUCAGUUUAAAGUUGGCCUGCUAAUUAAUGGGGGAGUUUCAAUAUGGCAGUGCUUACGACAGCAAAGGAAAAGCAUUCUUUUUUUUUUUUCUUUUUUGGAGAUGGAGUUUCGCUCUUGUUACCCAGGCUGGAGUGCAAUGGCGCGAUCUCAGCUCACCGCAACCUCCGCCUCCUGGGUUCAGGCAAUUCUCCUGCCUCAGCCUCCCGAGUAGCUGGGAUUACAGGCACGCGCCACCAUGCCCAGCUAAUUUUUUGUAUUUUUAGUAGAGACGGGGUUUCACCAUGUUGACCAGGAUGGUCUCGAUCUCUUGACCUCGUGAUCUCCCCGCCUCAGCCUCCCAAAGUGCUGGGAUUACAGGCUUGAGCCACCGCACCCGGCUUAGGAAAAGCGUUCUUUACAAACAUCAUCUUCCCCCGCACAUUCACAGGAUGGUAUCUGACACCCACUUUUAACUUCUAGAGCACCAUUUGUACUUCUCCGUGGUCUUGCCUGCAGGUCUUUGAUGAUACAGUCCGCCCUUCCGCAAAAACAUACUUCAGUUUUCCUAGAUUCUACUUUCAGUGCUUUGCGAAUCAAGUUAGAGGGUGAAUAGCUUAGCCUGAUGAAAUGGCAUUCAUAGGGUUAGAAUAGCAGAGUUGCCUACCUAAUCUUCCUGUCGCAAUGAAAUAAAAGAAUGAUAUCUAAGUUGACCAACCUUAUAAAGAUAAUUUUACGUGAAGCCUCCAAAAAUAAUGGACUCAAAAAAAAUAAAAAAGAAAGGGGGGCAGUUUUAAAAUAAAACAAACAAAAACAAUAAUGGACUAGGACUGGUCAAAGAAGAAAACAGCCCUCACAUCCUCAAUCCAAAACCCAGAGUUUGUCUUCAAAAGUGGAAAGCUUGUUGGUUUUAUACUUAAUGAGAUCUUGAGUUAUCCAACGUGCUUCCAUCAUAGAAUGGCCCACCAGGGUAGAAGGAUUCUGAAUGUGUUCCCUGGUGCUUUGCCAUGUGCCUAUGGAAUACCUGUGCUGCAUUUCUAGCCCUCUUUCUGUGCAGUAGCAAAGAUGUGUAUCACUGCUGAAACUUCGGGUCCGAUCUUUGGCUUUAGGAUAGACCACUGGGUUUCUCCCACCGCCUGAAACCUUAGUAGCAUUAGCAUCAGAUGUGGACCUAAUCACCAAAGUGCCUAGCUGAUACGUGCCACAUUUUUCAUGAUGUUAUACUGUGGCCUAUUCACACACAAUUUCUUAUCCCAUGAAGGGAAGAAAAAGAUAAUUUGCCGUUCUGUAAAUUAAAAUUUUUCUUUUGUGGUUACUUUGGACCAGAGCCAUACAUCAGAUGAUUCUGAGUGGGAUCUUUCCACUAUUGUAGACUUUGUAAACACUAUGUGCUACACUAUUAGGCUAUACUACAUAGAUAGUAGUAUCAUACCCAUGUUAGAUUUUCUGAUUUUGAUAAUUGUGAUACAGUUCUGUAGGAGAGUGUCCUUGGUUUGGGGAACCAUUUAGGAGCUUAGGGGCACAACGAAUAAACUUACAAAUGGUUCAUCAAAAAAUACAUGUGCAGAAAUAUAAAAAUAAAUAGAUAUCUGUACAUAUUAUGCAUAUCUACCUAUCUAUAUCUGUAUCUACACAUAUGGAGAGAGAGAGAGACCAAGAGAGACAGAGGAGCGCAGUAAUGAUAGAGAAAUGUGGCAGAAUGUUAACAGUGCUAACAGUUGGUGAGACUGGGUAAGGGGAAUUCAGGAAUUAUUUAGCUAUCCCUGCAUCUUCUUCUUCUUCUUUUUUUUUUUUUUGAGAUGAAGUCGUCUUCUGUCACUCAGGCUGGAGUUCAGUAGCUCAAUCUCUGCUCAUUGCAACCUCUGCCUCCUGGGUUCAAGCGAUUCUCCUGCCUCAGCCUCUGAGUAGCUGGGAUUACAGGCAUAUGUGCCACAACACCUGGCUAAUUUUUAUAUUUUCAGUAGAGACGGUGUUUCAUUAGUUAGCCAGGCUGGUCUUGAACUCCUGACCUCAAGUGAUCCACCUGCCUAAACCUUCCAAAGUGCCAGGAUUACAGGCAUGAGCCACUACUCCUGGCCUUCUUGGAUCUUUUCUGUUCGUUUCAGAUUACAAUCAUGCGUCGCUUAACAAUGGGAAUAUGUCCUGAGAAAUGCAUUGUUACGUGAUUUCAUCAUUGUCCUACCAUCACAGAGUGUACUUCCACAGCCCGUGUGUUCCAGCCUACUGCAAACCUAGGCUGUGUGGUAUAGCUUACUGCCCCUCGGACAUAAACCUGUACAGCAUGUUGCUACUGAAUACUGAAGGCAGUUGUAACACAAUGGUAAGGAUUUCUGUAUCUAAACAUAUGUAAAAAGAAAAAGUGUACAGUAAAAAUACUGCGUAAAAGAUUUACAGUGGGCCGGGCGUGGUGGCUCAAGCCUGUAAUCCCAGCACUUUGGGAGGCCGAGGCGGGUGGAUCACGAGGUCAAGAGAUCGAGACCAUCCUGGUCAACAAGGUGAAACCCUGUCUCUACUCAAAAUACAAAAAUUAGCUGGGCAUGGUGGCGCGUGCCUGUAAUCCUGGCUACUCAGGAGGCUGAGGCAGGAGAAUUGCCUGAACCCAGGAGGUGGAGGUUGCGGUGAGCUGAGAUCGCGCCAUUGCACUCCAGCCUGGGUAACAAGAGCGAAACUCCGUCUCAAAAAAAAAAAAAAAAAGAUUUACAGUGGAACACCUGCAGAAGACUCUUACAAUGCAUGGAGCUUGCAGGCCCUCCCGUUCUGGGUGAGCCAGUGAGUGAGCAGUGAGUGAAUGUGAAGCCCUAGGACAUUACUGUCACUACUGUAGACUUUGUAAACACUAUAUACUUGGGCUAUACUACAUUUAUUUAAAAAAAAAAUUCUUUCUUCAACAGUAAAUUAACCUUAGCUUACUAUAACCUUUUUUUUUUUUUUUUGAGAUGGAGUCUUGCUCUGUCACCCAGGCUGGAGUGCAGUGGUGCUGUCUCAGCUCACUGGAUUCCAGCAAUUCUCUGCCUCAGCCUCCCGAGUAGUUGGGAUUACUGGUGCCCACCACCGCUCCUGGCUAAUUUUAAAAAAAACUUUGAGUAGAGACAGGGUUUCACCAUUUUGGCCAGGCUGGUCUUGAACUCCUGACCUUGUGAUCCACCUGCCUUGGCCUCCCAAAGUGCUGGGAUUACAGGCAUAAGCCACUGCGCCCAGCCAGCUUUUUUUUUUUUUUAAGUUAUUACUAUUUUUUGAGAAGGCGUCUUAUUCUGUCACCCAGGCCAGAGUACAGUGGCUCAAUCUCAGCUCACUGCAAACUCUGCCUCCUGAGUUCAAGCCAUUCUCCUGACUCAGCCUCCUGAGUAGCUGGGACCAUAGGCACGUGUGACCAUGCCCAGCUAAUAUUUGUAUUUUUAGUAGACUCUUUUGUAAUAACACUAAGCUUAAAACACAAACACACCUAUAAUCCCAGCACUUUGGGAGGCCGAGGUAGGUGGAUCAUGAGGUCAAGGGAUCGAGACCAUCCUGGUGAACAAGAUGAAACACCGUCUCUACUAAAAAUACAAAAAUUAGCUGGGCGUGGUGGCGCGCGCCUGUAGUCCCAGCCACUCGGGAGGCUGAGGCAGGAGAAUUGCUUGAACCCAGGAGGCGGAGGUUGCGGUGAGCCGAGAUCAUGCCAUUGAACGCCAGCCUGGGUAACGAGUGAAACUCCGUCUCAAAAAACAAAAACAAAAACAAAAACAAACAACAAAAGAAAAUACGAACACAUUGUACAAAAAUGUUUCCUUUAUCUCUUAUUCUAUAUGCCUUUUUAUAUUUUUAAAUUUUAGUUUUUACGCUUUUUGAACGUUUUGUUAAAAGAAACACACACACAUUAGCCUAGGCCUACACAGGGUCAGGAUCAUCAGUAUCACUGUCUUCCACCUCUGCAGCUUGUCCAGGUGGAAGGUCUUUAGGGGAAAUAACAUGCACAGAGCUGUCAUCUUCUACGAUAACAAUGCCUUUUUCUGGAAUACCUCCUCAAGGACCCCCCGAGGCUAUUUUACAGUUAACUUUUUUUAAAUAAGAAGGCGCAUAGUCUAAAAGAGAAAAUGUAAAGCAUAAUAUAUAUAUAUAAACCAGUAACAAUCAUUUAUUAUCAUUAUCAAGUAUGUACUAUACGUGAUUGUAUGUGCUAUAUUUUUAUAGCACUGGUGGUGCAGUAGUUUUAUAUAUACUAGCAUCACCACAAACUCAUGAAUAAUGCAUCGUGCUAUGAUGUCACAGUGGCUACAACAUCACUAGACUAUAGGAAUUUUUCAGUUCCAGUACAGUAUAAUUUUUUUUCUUUUUGAGGAGUGUUGCUCUGUCUUCCAAGAUGGAGUACAGUGGUACUAUCUUGGCUCACCGCAACCUCUGCCUCCUGGGUUCAAGCAAUUCUCCUGUCUCAGCCUCCCGAGUAGCUGGGAGUACAGGCGUGUGCCACACCAUGCCCAGCUAAUUUUUGUGUUUUUAGUAGAGACGGGGUUUCACCUUGUUGACCAGGAUGGUCUCGAUCUCUUGACCUCGUGAUCCAGCCGCCUCAGCCUCCCAAAGUGCUGGGAUUAUAGGCGUGAGCCACCUUGCCCGGCCAGGAUCAGCCUUCUUAACCCAGCCACUCACAAGGGAUUCUGAGGAUGAAUGUUCACUGGGGCAGAUUGGUUAUAUUCAGCAACUUCAUGUAUUUCUGCAAAGUCUACCAGUCUGAUGAUGCAGUGAACGUCAUGAUCCCCUGUGAAAUAAUAAAAAGAUAAAGUGUUCCGAGGCCCAUUUAUUUCUCACUCCUACUACCCCAGAAGACUGAACCAUGGGUUUAAGUAAACACUUGAACUGAGGGUCACUGUAUUGUAUGUUCCUGUUCAGACAGGACUUCACAAAGACUUUCUUUUAUACAGAAAACAACCAGCCAAUAAAACAGCAUUAGAGUACAUUAUACAUGUGACCAAUCAUUUUAUAAAAUCUGAUGUAAGCCUUCAGGCAUAAUUGGAGUUCUUAGCAAAAUUCUUUGGUUUUUAAUAUUUCUAUGACCCUCUGAGGGGGACUUAGCAAUUACUCUUAAAUUUUUAGAGUGGAGCAUGGAGUUUUAGCUGUGUGACUUCCAUUAAAGUCCACAGGAGUCUUGUUGCUAAAACAUCACACGACUCACGAAAAUGUGCUCCUUCUCGUGAAAUUGUUAGAAGUAAUGGGUAUGGAAGUGUAGCACAGCAUUUCUGGAACAUUUACAAGCUUUCUGUACUUGUUUCAAACUUUAUACUUUUAUGAAAACUCAACAGUUCUAUAAAAAUUGAAGAGGGAAAAAGCCUGUUAUGUGAAUUCCAAAAGUGAAAGGUGGAAAAAAUAUAGUAGAACCAAUAAAAAAAUUAAAAUGAUUCUUUAAGAAAAGCCAAAUGUUUAAAUAUAUUUAUCAUUUUUAUUUCAAAAUUAAUGUAUCUGCUCCCAGAUUUUUAAGAUAAGCCUUAAAAUCAAACUUAAAAAAAUGAACUUUAAUGAGAAACUUUUACUAUAAUCACAUACAGUGAUUUUGGGUUUCGGCAACCUCCUCUGCUGAAACUGAUGUAAUUUAAGCAUCAUCUGAGCAAAGCUUUAUUCCUUUAGAUGGUGGUGGUGUGAGGGGUUUGUUCCCAGAGGAUGGCCUUAAGGUUUGCUGAGUCCGUUUCUGUCAAGAACCUCUUAGAGGCUGGGUGGGGUGGCUCAUGCCUAUAAUCCCAGCACCUUUGGGAGGCCUACGUGGGCGGAUCACUUGAGAUCAAGAGUUCAAGACCAGCCUGGUCAAUAUGCUGAAACUCCAUCUCUACUAAAAAUACAAAAAUAAGCUGUGGUGGUGUGCGUCUGUAAUCCCAGCUACUCGGGUGGCUGAGGAAUGAGAAUCGCUUGAAUCCGGGAGGCAGAGGUUGCCGUGAGUGGAGAUUGAGCCAAUGUGCUCCAGCCUGAGUGACAGAACAAGACCUUGUCUCAAAAAAAAAAAAAAAAAUCUCAUAGACAUUUCUCUCCUGUUUCCCUGUGAUAAGAGUGCUGUGAUGCCUGUUACACAGUCAAACGGAUUCAGAGCCCACCUUUGUCUGACUCCAGGACCCAAUUUCCCCCUUUAUUCUCUUUUGUGCUAUGCUGGAGAAGACAGUGCAGCAGCUCUCGGGAAUUUGUGUGGCGCUGUUACAGGGACACUCUGAGCAAGGAAAAUGGUGACAGACCUGGAAGGAGACCUUCUUCCAGUCCAGGCUACAUGCUCUGAGGUCUUCCAGAGCGUACAGCUGCUCCAUUCGAACUGUGCUCCCAGAGUGACAUGGGCCUGAGUCGCUGGAGCCGGCAGCUCCUGGUGCUCAGCUCAGCGGCUCAGCCCAGCAUCAGUACCACCUCCUCUUUGAGCAUCUGGUGGCCUUGCUGGUGACACGGUGACACAACCAGUUUCUCCUAGAGGAGAAACAUCUUCCGAGUUCUGUUUCCGCAGUCCUUUGGGGGACAGUCAAGGCCAGAGUUGGCCUCAGACAUAGAAGUAUUUGUUUCAACACAUUGAGAGAGAGAAAGAAAGAGACUCAGUGACUGUUUCUUGAGUUAAUUGUCGUUGGCUCAGUUUCAGUGGUGCAAUGUUUUGUUGCAGAUUCAUUUACUAAGCAAUACAAAAUUAUCAUCUAUAUGCAUUAUUGCAUCUUGGGAUGGUUCUGUAAGCAUUACUUUCUCCUGAAAUCUCCCUACUGUCCGGACAGUGGAUUUUAGGAUAGGUUUUUAAAAUGGAAAACGACGCAGAAUCAAAUUUUCAACAUAGCGUCGAAGGAAUAGCAUCAGUUGGGAAUGAGCUAUGCCACCAAUUUAAAGUGUCCCAGCUGGGGUCAGAAUUAGGGACUAUCUAAACAGGGAAUUUCAGAAGGGCAGGGGAGAAUAUCAAGGCACAAAUGGGAGGAAAUAAGCCAUUGUUCCUUUAGAAAGCUUAGUAACCUCGAUAAUGAGAGGCUAUGAAAUAGUUCUUUUUAUAACUGUAACUUCUUAACUUUCCAGCCCUAGUAGCUCCAAGGGUCACUUGCAGAGAGCCCCGGGGCUACACCUGCCUUGCAUAGAUUAGGGCUCGCUGCAGCUGUCUUCAUUUGCAAGACUAAGGUGUAGCUCCAAGAGGCUGUGGGUCUCAGCAUGGAGCUCUCCUCUUCAAUCUCAAUAGGCUGGUGUUGCGGAUUAAGAUGGCCAUUGCAAGCCAGGCUCAGAAAUUGCAAGAUGAGGCAGGUAACGAUUUCCUGGGUUUUAUGUAUCAGACCUUAUGAGGUAUGAAGCGGGGAAACCUUUUAUAUGCCUGCCUUGAAUUAGCCAUACCUUUUACAAUCGGCUCUGUUGAAGAGCAGCUGCCUAUCUAGUGUACCCAUGGGCCAAGCUUGCCUUUGGCACACACACGUUUGUAAAGAGUUUGUGAAUCUAUAGGAUAUCUCUUGGUGAGGACAAAAGGGACAUAGCUAGUCAGCAUUGGACUGUGGGCUGGGUCCCACUUUCUCCUGUAAUGUGCAUUUGUUUCACAGAAAAUACAAUUAGGAUAAUUCUUGUGUGUUCUCUACAGGAAGGAAGUAGUAUACUGCUUGUGAAUGGUAGGCUAAAUGAGGGAACCAUUAAAGGGUUUUUAAUAGACUUUUGAACCAAAAGACAGAAGGGACUAUACUUAUGUUGCCUUAAUUGAGAAAUAUUUUGCAGUGUGAGAAGACUUAAUCAAAUCUUCAUUACAUACCUGGUCAGGGAGCAGGCUGAAUGUUUCUUUAAGCAAUUGGAUAAAAUGCACAUUGAAGACUUGUUAGUUAUGUGAGAAUGUGUCUGACAUGCUUAUCAUCUCUCCUGCGGGUGCCUGAGUAUCAGAUACUUGGUUUACUGUGUUGGGUUGAAUGCUUCUGUUCUAAUUUCUAAUGAACUUUACCACCAGACUACUUGAUCAUGACUAAGCCCAGGAACAAUGCAAAUGGAAUUGCCCCCUGAUGGGGAGGAAUGGGCCCAGAUGGCCCUUAAAAGGUGAUAAUUAGGAAAUAUAGCAUAUCUGAGUAGCUAGAAAGAGAGAAACUUGUUAAAGACAGUCAAUCUGUUUGAAGCAAUGGUCUUUCCCUUAAUUAUAUGCAUUUUCAUUUAGAGUUGCUUUAAAGUAAAAUUUUCCCAGGAAAAAUUUUUAUUAGUACUGAAAACCUAGAAACCACACACACAUUUUUUGCUACUCUGUUUCAGAUUAUUGAAAAUUCCUUCCUUCAUACAUUUUUUGUUUUCCAGAUCUGUGUAACAGACUUGCUGUGUGUGUUUUAGGGGGCCGUUUUAGGUUAUUUUAGCUCUUAUGUUAAAACAGUGGGGGAGUGAUUAAAAGUGAGAAAAAUAUUAGUAUAUAUUUGUAAACUGAGCUUUUAAAAUUAAAAUAGUUGCAGUCUGUGAUUUCAUAUACUUUGUGAGAUUGCCUUAAAUGUAUUGCCUUUUUGGCAGCAUAAUGCCAGAUUUUUCUCCAAUAUGUCAUUAAAAUAAUUUUACAUGUAACAAGUUGAACUUUUUAAAGACUUAUAUUUCAAUCUGAAUUAGCAUAUCUACCAAUGAUACGACUUAUUUGGCUUUUCUUUAGCCCUUUUUUUUUUUAAAGUAUACAAACUUGGCAUCACUCUUUAAGAAUAACAAGUAAACUGGAAAUGAGAAGGUGGUGAUGUGAGCAGAGAGAGAAAUACCCUCCUUACAUCCUUUCCAGCUCUUGACAAUGGUUGUUCCUGGGAAUUAAAACCUAAUGCAAAAGCCGGAGCGGCCCAAAGGCAACUUCUUCCUUAUACAUAAAGCCAGAAAGUAAAAUUACAUUUAAGUGCUAAGCUACAUUAUUCUGAAUAUUUUGGCAGUCAUAUUUGGGCAGAUGAGUUGCUUUCCUGAAAUUACUCAGCACCAUCAUUCAUCCUGACAAAAGCCGGUGGUACAGAUGCACCUUUGGGACUGAGGCCAAGGUGAAACCUGCGUUUUCCAGUUCUGCCCACUCAGGUUUGGAAGGACUCUCCAUAAAAUCAGCCUCGGGCCGGGCGCCGUGGCUCACGCCUGUAAUCCCAGCACUUUGGGAGGCCGAGGCGGGUGGAUCACGAGGUCAAAAGAUCGAGACCAUCCUGGUCACCAUUGUGAAACCCCGUCUCUACUAAAAAUACAAAAAAUUAGCUGGGCAUGGUGGCGCAUGCCUGUAAUCCCAGCUACUAAGGAGGCUGAGGCAGGAGAAUUGCCUGAACCCAGGAGGCAGAGGUUGUGGUGAGCGGAGAUCGCGCCAUUGCACUCCAGCCUGGGUAACAAGAGCGAAACUCAGUCUCAAAAAAAAAAUCAGCCUCAUACUCCAAGCAUCACCCGGUCCCGUCCUUAGUAAAUUCACUCUGGCCGGAACAUAGGGUCCCAGCAUCUAGUCCUCGGGAAGUCAUAUAAAUUCAUCAAGUAUCAGCCAGGCGCUGUAGCUCAUGCCUAUAAUCCCAGCACUUUGGGAGGCUGAGGCAGGUGGAUCACGAGGUCAAGAGAUCGAGACCAUCCUGGUCAACAAGGUGAAACACCGUCUGUACUAAAAAUACAAAAAUUAGCUGGGCAUGGUGGCGCGCGCCUGUAGUCCCAGCUACUCAGGAGGCUGAGGCCGCAGAAUUGCUUGAACCCAGGAGGCGGAGGUUGCGGUGAGCCGAGAUCGCGCCAUUGCACUCCAGCCUGGGUAACAAGAGCGAAACUCCAUCUCAAAAACAAACAACAACAACAACAACAACAACAAAUUCGUCAAGUAUCUUCCUCCACCCAAAAAAUUUCUUACACAAUCUUGGAUAUUUUAAGCCUCAUUACUGAAAAGUGGGUAUAGUUCAUGCUCAGCUUCAGGAUUCCAGAAGCAUCCAUACCAGGUUAGAAUGGAGAAAUGUCAUGCUCUCCUUCAGCAAGCUUCAGGGGAGACAGGAUUUAGUGUGGGCCACGCAUACACCGGUUGCAGGAUGUUUUGAACUAUAUUCUUUUUUUUUUUUGAGACAGAGUUUCACUCUUGUUACCCAGGCUGGAGU